UACGAAGGGAGCUAGCGUUGUUCGGAAUCACUGGGCGUAAAGCGCACGUAGGCGGAUGUGUCAGUCAGGGGGUGAAAUCCCGGAGCUCAACUUCGGAACUGCCCUUGAUACAGCACGUCUUGAGUCCGGAAGAGGUGGGUGGAAUUCCUAGUGUAGAGGUGAAAUUCGUAGAUAUUAGGAAGAACACCGGUGGCGAAGGCGGCCCACUGGUCCGGUACUGACGCUGAGGUGCGAAAGCGUGGGGAGCAAACAGGAUUAGAACUAC
rnacentral:rRNA from 1 species